rnacentral:rRNA from 1 species
CCUACGGGUGGCAGCAGUGAGGAAUAUUGGUCAAUGGACGAGAGUCUGAACCAGCCAAGUCGCGUGAAGGAUGACGGCCCUACGGGUUGUAAACUUCUUUUGUCAGGGAGCAAUUGGGUCCACGCGUGGGCUUAGCGAGAGUACCUGAAGAAAAAGCAUCGGCUAACUCCGUGCCAGCAGCCGCGGUAAUACGGAGGAUGCGAGCGUUAUCCGGAUUUAUUGGGUUUAAAGGGUGCGUAGGCGGAAUAUCAAGUCAGCGGUAAAAAUUCGGGGCUCAACCCCGUCGUGCCGUUGAGACUGAUGUUCGUGAGGGGGCGAGAAGUAUGCGGGAGGCGUGGUGUAGAGGUGAGAUGAAU